GAUGAACGCUGGCGGCGUGCCUAAUACAUGCAAGUCGAGCGAAUGGAUUGAGAGCUUGCUCUCAAGAAGUUAGCGGCGGACGGGUGAGUAACACGUGGGUAACCUGCCCAUAAGACUGGGAUAACUCCGGGAAACCGGGGCUAAUACCGGAUAACAUUUUGAACUGCAUGGUUCGAAAUUGAAAGGCGGCUUCGGCUGUCACUUAUGGAUGGACCCGCGUCGCAUUAGCUAGUUGGUGAGGUAACGGCUCACCAAGGCAACGAUGCGUAGCCGACCUGAGAGGGUGAUCGGCCACACUGGGACUGAGACACGGCCCAGACUCCUACGGGAGGCAGCAGUAGGGAAUCUUCCGCAAUGGACGAAAGUCUGACGGAGCAACGCCGCGUGAGUGAUGAAGGCUUUCGGGUCGUAAAACUCUGUUGUAAGGGAAGAACGGACGGAAGAGUAGAAUGUUUCCGUCUUGACGGUACCUGACCAGAAAGCCACGGCUAACUAUGUGCCAGCAGCCGCAGUAAAAC
rnacentral:rRNA from 1 species